rnacentral:rRNA from 1 species
CCUACGGGAGGCUGCAGUGGGGAAUAUUGCACAAUGGGGGAAACCCUGAUGCAGCGACGCCGCGUGAGUGAAGAAGUAUUUCGGUAUGUAAAGCUCUAUCAGCAGGGAAGAAAUAGCGACCUUUGGGUCGCCAGACGGUACCUGAUUAAGAAGCCCCGGCUAACUCCGUGCCAGCAGCCGCGGUAAUACGGAGGAUGCGAGCGUUAUCUGGAUUUAUUGGGUUUAAAGGGUGCGUAGGGGGAUCGUUAAGUCAGGGGUCAAAUUGAGGGGCCAAACCCCUGUCCGCCAUUGAAACUGGCGCUCUUGAGUGGAAGAGAGGUAUGCGGAAUGCGUGGUGUAGCGGUGAAAUGCAUAGAGAGCACGCAGAACCCCGAUUGCGAAGGCAGCAUGCCGGCUUCCGACUGACGCUGAAGCACGAAAGCGUGGGGAUCGAACAGGAUUAGAUACCCCUGUAGUC